rnacentral:tRNA from 1 species
GGUUCUGUGGUCUAGUUGGUUAUGGCAUCUCGUUAACACCGAGAAGGUCCCCGGUUCAAUCCCGGGCGGAAUCA